rnacentral:rRNA from 1 species
AACGAACGCUGGCGGCAGGCCUAAUACAUGCAAGUCGAACGCCGUAGCAAUACGGAGUGGCAGACGGGUGAGUAACGCGUGGGAAUCUUCCUAAUGGUACGGAAUAGCCCGGGGAAACCCGGAGUAAUACCGUAUACUCCCGUGAGGGGAAAGAUUUAUCGCCAUUAGAUGAGCCCGCGUCGGAUUAGCUAGUUGGUGGGGUAAUGGCCUACCAAGGCAACGAUCCGUAGCUGGUCUGAGAGGAUGAUCAGCCACACUGGGACUGAGACACGGCCCAAACUCCUACGGGAGGCAGCAGUGGGGAAUAUUGGACAAUGGGCGCAAGCCUGAUCCAGCCAUGCCGCGUGAGUGAUGAAGGCCCUAGGGUUGUAAAGCACUUUCAACGGUGAAGAUAAUGACGGUAACCGGAGAAGAAGCCCCGGCUAACUUCGUGCCAGCAGCCGCAGUAAUAC